AGAAGACUUUAAGAGAUGAAUAGGUAAGGGGAAUGACAGAAAUAUCUCUUCACAGCUGAGUGUGGGAGUGUGUGCCUGUGAUCCCAGCUGAGUGUGGGAGUGUGUGCCUGUGAUCCCAGCUGAGUGUGGCAGUGUGUGCCUAUGAUCCCAGGUGAGUGUGGGAGUGUGUGCCCGUGAUCCCAGCUGAGUGUGGCAGUGUGUGUCUAUGAUCCCAGGUGAGUGUGGGAGUGUGUGCCUGUGAUCCCAGCUGAGUGUGACAGUGUGUGUCUAUGAUCCCAGGUGAGUGUGGGAGUGUGUGCCUGUGAUCCCAGCUGAGUGUGGCAGUGUGUGCCUAUGAUCCCAGGUGAGUGUGGGAGUGUGUGCCUGUGAUCCCAGCUGAGUGUGACAGUGUGUGUCUAUGAUCCCAGGUGAAUGUGGGAGUGUGUGCCCGUGAUCCCAGCUGAGUGUGGCAGUGUGUGCCUAUGAUCCCAGGUGAGUGUGGGAGUGUGUGCCUGUGAUCCCAGCUGAGUGUGACAGUGUGUGUCUAUGAUCCCAGGUGAGUGUGGCAGUGUGUGCCUGUGAUCCCAGCUGAGUGUGGCAGUGUGUGCCCAUGAUCCCAGGUGAGUGUGGGAGUGUGUGCCUGUGAUCCCAGCUGAGUGUGGCAGUAUGUGCCCAUGAUCCCAGGUGAGUGUGGGAGUGUGUGCCUGUGAUCCCAGCUGAGUGUGGCAGUGUGUGCCCAUGAUCCCAGCUGAGUGUGGGAGUGUGUGCCUGUGAUCCCAGCUGAGUGUGGCAGUGUGUACCUGUGAUCCCAGCUGAGUGUGGCAGUGUGUGCCUGUGAUCCCAGCUGAGUGUGGCAGUGUGUGCCUGUGAUCCCAGCUGAGUGUGGCAGUGUGUGCCUAUGAUCCCAGCUGAAUAUGGUAGUGUGGGUUUAUACUACCAGAUGAAUAUGACAGUGUGUGCUUAUAAUCCCAUAAUGUUGGAGGUAGAGGCAAAAUAAUCAAGAAUUCAA